rnacentral:rRNA from 1 species
ACGAACGCUGGCGGCAGGCUUAACACAUGCAAGUCGAACGGUUGUAGCAAUACAGCCGUGGCGCACGGGUGAGUAACACGUGGGAAUAUGCCCUUUAGUACGGAAUAACAGCGGGAAACUGCUGACAAUAUCGUAUACGCCUUCGGGGAAGGAUUAUCGCUAAAGGAUUAGCCGCGUCAGAUUAGCUUGUUGGUGGGGUAAGUGGCCUACCAAGGCUCCGAUCUGUAGCUGGUCUGAGAGGACGGCCAGCCACACUGGAACUGAGACACGGUCCAGACUCCUACGGGAGGCAGCAGUGGGGAAUAUUGGACAAUGGGCGAAAGCCUGAUCCAGCCAUGCCGCGUGAGUGAUGAAGGCCUUAGGGUGUAAAGCUCUUUGUCAGGGAAGAUGAUGACGGUACCUGAAGAAUAAGCACCGGCUAACUUCGUGCCAGCAGCCGCGGU